rnacentral:rRNA from 1 species
CGAAAGCCUGACGGAGCAACGCCGCGUGAGGGAUGGAGGCCUUUGGGCUGUAAACCUCUUUUCUCAAGGAAGAAGAUCUGACGGUACUUGAGGAAUAAGCCACGGCUAAUUCCGUGCCAGCAGCCGCGGUAAUACGGGUGUGGCAAGCGUUAUCCGGAAUUAUUGGGCGUAAAGCGUCCGCAGGCGGCCGUUUAAGUCUGUUGUUAAAUCGUGGAGCUCAACUCCAUCACGGCAAUGGAAACUGUUCGGCUUGAGUAUGGUAGGGGCAGAGGGAAUUUCCGGUGUAGCGGUGAAAUGCGUAGAUAUCGGGAAGAACACCAGUGGCGAAAGCGCUCUGCUGGGCAUUACUGACGCUCAUGGACGAAAGCCAGGGGAGCGAAAGGGAUUAGAUACCCCUGUAGUCCUGGCCGUAAACGAUGAACACUAGAUGUUGGGGGAAUCGACCCCCUCGGUGUCGUAGCUAACGCGUUAAGUGUUCCGCCUGGGGAGUACGCACGCAAGUGUGAAACUCAAAGGAAUUGACGGGGGCCCGCACAAGCGGUGGAGUAUGUGGUUUAAUUCGAUGCAACGCGAAGAACCUUACCAAGGCUUGACAUCCUGCGAAUCUCUAAGGAAUUAGAGAGUGCCUUCGGGAACGCAGUGACAGGUGGUGCAUGGCUGUCGUCAGCUCGUGUCGUGAGAUGUUGGGUUAAGUCCCGCAACGAGCGCAACCCACGUUUUUAGUUGCCAGCAUUCAGUUGGGCACUCUAGAAAGACUGCCGGUGACAAACCGGAGGAAGGUGUGGACGACGUCAAGUCAUCAUGCCCCUUACGCCUUGGGCUACACACGUACUACAAUGCUGCGGACAAAGAGUAGCGAUCUUGCGAAGGUUAGCUAAUCUCAUAAACCGUGGCUCAGUUCAGAUCGUAGGCUGCAACUCGCCUACGUGAAGGAGGAAUCGCUAGUAAUCGCAGGUCAGCAUACUGCGGUGAAUACGUUCCCGGGCCUUGUACACACCGCCCGUCACACCAUGGAAGUUGGCCAUGCCCGAAGUCGUUACUCUAACCUUUUGGAAGAGGGCGCCGAAGGCAGGGCUAAUGACUGGGGUGAAGUCGUAACAAGGUAGCCGUAGCGGAAGCUGCGGCUGGAUCACCUCCUAA